UACGAAGGGGGCUAGCGUUGCUCGGAAUCACUGGGCGUAAAGGGUGCGUAGGCGGGUUUUUAAGUCAGGGGUGAAAUCCUGGAGCUCAACUCCAGAACUGCCUUUGAUACUGAAGAUCUUGAGUCCGGGAGAGGUGAGUGGAACUGCGAGUGUAGAGGUGAAAAUUCGUAGAUAUUCGCAAGAACACCAGUGGCGAAGGCGGCUCACUGGCCCGGUACUGACGCUGAGGCACGAAA
rnacentral:rRNA from 1 species